GAUGAACCCUGGGGGUGUGCUUAACACAUGCAAGUCGAACGGUAAGUGAAGACGGAGGCCUUCUGGCUGAACUCUUUAUUUCGACUGUCGGACGUGUUAGUAACGCAUGGGUAACCUGCCUCAUACAGGCGGAUAACAGUUUGAAACUACUGUUCUUACCCCAUAAGACCAUAGUGCCGUUUUAUGUGGUGUAAAAAACGCCGGUUGAAUGAGAUCGAUCCGCUUUCGAUUAGCCAGUGGGUGAGGUAACGGCCCACCAAAGGGACGAUAGAUAGCCGAUCGGAGAAGAUGACCGGCGACAAUGGGACUGAGACACGGUCCAAACUCGUACGGGAGGCAGCAGUGGGGAAUAAUGCCCAAUGGGAGAGAGCCUGAUGCAGCGACGCCGGGUGAGUGAAAAAGUAUUCCGGUAUGUAAAGCUCUAGAAAGAGGGAAGAGAAUGACGGUACAAGAGUAAGACGCGGUAGCUAACUACGUG
rnacentral:rRNA from 1 species